rnacentral:lncRNA from 1 species
AUUCAGGGAAGGUUUCAAGCAGAAAGAUGAACUUGAGUUGGCUUUUGAGAGAUUCAUAGGAUUCCCACAGGCAGAGUGAAAUAAGGGAAUUUUAGAUGAACAAACGCACAGACAAAAGCAGAAAUGCAGAUGGUGUGACUGGGGGAUGGUGAGGGGCUGCUCUGGCUGGAAUGGAGGGCUGGCUGCCACAAUAGUGGAAAUGGUAAAUGAGGCAAAUAAGGUUGGAUUGGUAGGAUAGCAUCAAGGUUGCCAGCUUAUUAAAUCACUCUUCCAAUAUGCUAGCACUGGCCUAUUGGGAAAAGUAAUGCAUCAUGUAAUCAAACAAAAGGCAAACAGAGGCAAGCUCCAGGAAUGGGCACUGUAAACAGGACUCACCCUAGAGUGGCCAGAUGUAGACUUUAGAUAUGUUAAUGCAGGUUGAGCAUCUCUAAUCCGAGGGGGAAUGUCUCAUAUGGUGUCCAAGAAAUGGGCACAUCUCACAGAGGGCCUAGACUCAGGAGGGCUACAGUAUGAGACAUUUCCCCUCCCUUGUGAACUUAAAAAUGUGGCCAACAAUUUUUUUAAAAGAUGGUUACCCUGCAGUGCUUUAACUGGACCUAUUUAGACAACGCCUUACACACUGGAGAAGGAUGAUACUUUGUGACUCUAAUAAAUCUACCAGACAAUACUUCUCUCUUUUGGCUGUCUCCUUCCUCUCCAGGGUGAUGACAACUCCGUGAGGGUGGAGAUUAUACAUC